rnacentral:rRNA from 1 species
GGGACACGUGGUAUCCUGUCUGAAUAUGGGGGGACCAUCCUCCAAGGCUAAAUACUCCUGACUGACCGAUAGUGAACCAGUACCGUGAGGGAAAGGCGAAAAGAACCCCGGCGAGGGGAGUGAAAAAGAACCUGAAACCGUGUACGUACAAGCAGUGGGAGCACGCUUAGGCGUGUGACUGCGUACCUUUUGUAUAAUGGGUCAGCGACUUAUAUUCUGUAGCAAGGUUAACCGAAUAGGGGAGCCGAAGGGAAACCGAGUCUUAACUGGGCGUUAAGUUGCAGGGUAUAGACCCGAAACCCGGUGAUCUAGCCAUGGGCAGGUUGAAGGUUGGGUAACACUAACUGGAGGACCGAACCGACUAAUGUUGAAAAAUUAGCGGAUGACUUGUGGCUGGGGGUGAAAGGCCAAUCAAACCGGGAGAUAGCUGGUUCUCCCCGAAAGCUAUUUAGGUAGCGCCUCGUGAAUUCAUCUCCGGGGGUAGAGCACUGUUUCGGCAAGGGGGUCAUCCCGACUUACCAACCCGAUGCAAACUGCGAAUACCGGAGAAUGUUAUCACGGGAGACACACGGCGGGUGCUAACGUCCGUCGUGAAGAGGGAAACAACCCAGACCGCCAGCUAAGGUCCCAAAGUCAUGGUUAAGUGGGAAACGAUGUGGGAAGGCCCAGACAGCCAGGAUGUUGGCUUAGAAGCAGCCAUCAUUUAAAGAAAGCGUAAUAGCUCACUGGUCGAGUCGGCCUGCGCGGAAGAUGUAACGGGGCUAAACCAUGCACCGAAGCUGCGGCAGCGACGCUUAUGCGUUGUUGGGUAGGGGAGCGUUCUGUAAGCCUGUGAAGGUGUGCUGUGAGGCAUGCUGGAGGUAUCAGAAGUGCGAAUGCUGACAUAAGUAACGAUAAAGCGGGUGAAAAGCCCGCUCGCCGGAAGACCAAGGGUUCCUGUCCAACGUUAAUCGGGGCAGGGUGAGUCGACCCCUAAGGCGAGGCCGAAAGGCGUAGUCGAUGGGAAACAGGUUAAUAUUCCUGUACUUGGUGUUACUGCGAAGGGGGGACGGAGAAGGCUAUGUUGGCCGGGCGACGGUUGUCCCGGUUUAAGCGUGUAGGCUGGUUUUCCAGGCAAAUCCGGAAAAUCAAGGCUGAGGCGUGAUGACGAGGCACUACGGUGCUGAAGCAACAAAUGCCCUGCUUCCAGGAAAAGCCUCUAAGCAUCAGGUAACAUCAAAUCGUACCCCAAACCGACACAGGUGGUCAGGUAGAGAAUACCAAGGCGCUUGAGAGAACUCGGGUGAAGGAACUAGGCAAAAUGGUGCCGUAACUUCGGGAGAAGGCACGCUGAUAUGUAGGUGAAGUCCCUCGCGGAUGGAGCUGAAAUCAGUCGAAGAUACCAGCUGGCUGCAACUGUUUAUUAAAAACACAGCACUGUGCAAACACGAAAGUGGACGUAUACGGUGUGACGCCUGCCCGGUGCCGGAAGGUUAAUUGAUGGGGUCAGCGCAAGCGAAGCUCUUGAUCGAAGCCCCGGUAAACGGCGGCCGUAACUAUAACGGUCCUAAGGUAGCGAAAUUCCUUGUCGGGUAAGUUCCGACCUGCACGAAUGGCGUAAUGAUGGCCAGGCUGUCUCCACCCGAGACUCAGUGAAAUUGAACUCGCUGUGAAGAUGCAGUGUACCCGCGGCAAGACGGAAAGACCCCGUGAACCUUUACUAUAGCUUGACACUGAACAUUGAGCCUUGAUGUGUAGGAUAGGUGGGAGGCUUAGAAGUGUGGACGCCAGUCUGCAUGGAGCCGACCUUGAAAUACCACCCUUUAAUGUUUGAUGUUCUAACGUUGACCCGUAAUCCGGGUUGCGGACAGUGUCUGGUGGGUAGUUUGACUGGGGCGGUCUCCUCCUAAAGAGUAACGGAGGAGCACGAAGGUUGGCUAAUCCUGGUCGGACAUCAGGAGGUUAGUGCAAUGGCAUAAGCCAGCUUGACUGCGAGCGUGACGGCGCGAGCAGGUGCGAAAGCAGGUCAUAGUGAUCCGGUGGUUCUGAAUGGAAGGGCCAUCGCUCAACGGAUAAAAGGUACUCCGGGGAUAACAGGCUGAUACCGCCCAAGAGUUCAUAUCGACGGCGGUGUUUGGCACCUCGAUGUCGGCUCAUCACAUCCUGGGGCUGAAGUAGGUCCCAAGGGUAUGGCUGUUCGCCAUUUAAAGUGGUACGCGAGCUGGGUUUAGAACGUCGUGAGACAGUUCGGUCCCUAUCUGCCGUGGGCGCUGGAGAACUGAGGGGGGCUGCUCCUAGUACGAGAGGACCGGAGUGGACGCAUCACUGGUGUUCGGGUUGUCAUGCCAAUGGCACUGCCCGGUAGCUAAAUGCGGAAGAGAUAAGUGCUGAAAGCAUCUAAGCACGAAACUUGCC